rnacentral:tRNA from 1 species
AAGUAAUUAGUUCAAUUGGUUAGAACAUUUCGUUUACACUGAAAAGCUUACUAGUUCAACUCUAGUAUUACUUA